rnacentral:misc_RNA from 1 species
GUUUACGUAUUAGAGCCGCCGACGAGGGGGAAGGUCGUGUUGAAUACCACCUGUGGACCGCUCGAUAUCGAGCUCUGGCCUAAGGAGGCUCCCAAAGCCGUCAGAAAUUUCGUUCAGCUCUGUCUUGAAGGCUACUACGACAACACCAUCUUUCACCGGAUUAUCAAGGACUUCAUUGUUCAGGGCGGCGAUCCUACCGGUAGCGGCACAGGUGGUGAAAGCAUAUAUGGGGGCG